rnacentral:rRNA from 1 species
AUUGAACGCUGGCGGCAUGCUUUACACAUGCAAGUCGAACGGUAACAGGCCGCCAGGUGCUGACGAGUGGCGAACGGGUGAGUAAUGCAUCGGAACGUGCCCAGUCGUGGGGGAUAACUACUCGAAAGAGUAGCUAAUACCGCAUACGAUCUAUGGAUGAAAGCGGGGGACCGUAAGGCCUCGCGCGAUUGGAGCGGCCGAUGUCAGAUUAGGUAGUUGGUGGGGUAAAGGCUCACCAAGCCAACGAUCUGUAGCUGGUCUGAGAGGACGACCAGCCACACUGGGACUGAGACACGGCCCAGACUCCCACGGGAGGCAGCAGUGGGGAAUUUUGGACAAUGGGCGCAAGCCUGAUCCAGCAAUGCCGCGUGCAGGAAGAAGGCCUUCGGGUUGUAAACUGCUUUUGUACGGAACGAAACGGCUCUGGUUAAUACCCGGGGCUAAUGACGGUACCGUAAGAAUAAGCACCGGCUAACUACGUG